rnacentral:rRNA from 1 species
AGAAUCAACGCUGGCGGCGUGCCUAACACAUGCAAGUCGAACGAGAAAGGGGAGCAAUCCCUGAGUAAAGUGGCGACCGGGUGAGUAACACGUGACUAACCUACCUUCGAGUGGGGGAUAACCUCGGGAAACCGGGGCUAAUACCGCAUAACAUCUUUGGAGUGGAACUCCGGAGACCAAAGGAGCAAUUCGCUUGAAGAGGGGUCGCGGCUGAUUAGCUAGUUGGCGGGUAAUGGCCCACCAAGGCUUUGAUCGGUA